UGAAUGUGCUAAAGACCCCCAUCUGUGGCAAUUCAGAGCUGUGGGAGAAAGUUUUUGCUCAGAGAUGAACACUGACGCAAGCAUCGUYAUUAGGAUCAAGCAGAUGAGCCUGGAAAACUGUUACCUGAACUGAGAUCAGAUUCCGUAGCGGACUCACACAGCUGGAAACCAGGCCCAAAUGGGACGUUCAUGUACAUGGCCUCAUCUCCAGGCUGGGGACUCUUCCCAUUGGCUUCAUCCAGCGCAGCAUCGAACCCCUGAGCUUUGCCUGGGACUACAUUUGCUUGGUAGAUCUUCCCUCUCUUUUGGCAAAGAGAAAAAGCUGCAGAAGCAUUUUGGUGGUGUUUUUAUAGUGCUUGCCUUACCCACGUGAAAAAUGAUCUACUGCAGGUGCAAAUUGACUUGAACUUGUAACUCAUAUUCAUUCUUACASUGUAUUUCCUAUUAAUGAUGUGAAUGAGUGGCUAUAAUUAAGAUUAAUUUUUACUAGAGUAUAAAACAGGCUGAGUCGUCUGUGUGGCCUUCCUGAAUAGCUAUGGCUCCAGUUCUUGUGAUACACUCCAAAUAAGUGCUCUUCACACAGAAAUUAGUUGUUGUACCUCUGUAAUGAACAUAUGGGACUCAUGAGUGAGCUUUUUCUCUUGCUGCCCAUUUUGUAGGACUGAGGAUGAGAGGGUACGAAUGCAUGCAUGUUUGAUUAUCAUGUCAUUCAUUUUGAAAAAAAUGUGCAGCAAAUUGUUUAACUAAAUCCAUGACCACAGUGGAAUGUGGCAUCUUCUGAGUCAAUACAUAUAUUUAUUUUGUUAAUAAGCUUUCUAGCAGUUCCUGUAUGCCAGGCUUCAGGAAAUAGAGUUUUUCACUCACAAUUCCAUUUUCAAUUCAGCUUCUUCAUUAGUGUCAUAAACAGCUGCUUGAAAGUAAGGGAAAAUCUUCUAAUAACACAAGGAGAGAGCAUACUGGCUAAAAAGUCCAUCAGAAAGGAGUUGAAACCUCAGCAUGUCUCUCUUGGCUAGACAAAUCCUCUAAAGACUGCAGCUGUAGAUCUUCUCAGUGCUCCCUGCUCUAGCUCACUCUUUCAAAAUGGAAUGGGGAAAAAGCCCCAGGUGGUACCACAUGUUCUCUUACAAUUUUCUUGCCUAAAACUCUCAGGUUUUUACUUGAAAUAACAUUGAUAGCCAAUGGUUACUAUUCUUGAAAGGCUUAGGCACUAUUUUACUCUAAGACUUGUAUCAGGCAAAGGAAGAUGAAGACAGGUCCAGUGGGGAAGAAGGAAGGUUAUUUGCAGAGCACAGAGCUGCUGUUGUAUACCUGGCAGUUAUAGAUCUAAAAACCAUGCUCAAACCUGUCGCCUCUGGUGGAUAUUUCAUAAAGAAUAGUCAGUUUUGCACAAUCUUAAAGAGCAUACCUGAUCGCUCUGGUAGUAGUAUGCAGAGCUCAGCUUCUGUCUGAAGAUACCAUAAUUGAUUUGAGUUGCUCUCCUUGGCUUCGGAAGAGGAACACGUUUUAAUUCAAUAGAAGCAAACCCGGAUCUGAUAUUAAUGCCAGUUUGAUGACAUGCACCCAAUGAGUACCUAAAAGUCCUGUGUUUUGGCUCCUCUGAAGAGCAUUGUUUCCAAGAGCAUCAGUGAUAGCACGUUGAUCUUGCCAUGGCCUGCUCCUCUGUGAGUACACACAGCUUCAGAGAACACAUCUGCCUUUUGCAGCCCAUGCUGCUGACAGGCUCGGCAUGCUUUGCAUCCUGCUUUGCAUCAAAUGAGACUAUUUCAGACUAGUCACUUCCGAGAAUUGUUAAGUCAGGAGAUCUGUCUUGACCAGAGAGCCUCUGUGGGCACAGAAAAUGUCAGUCCUGUACAGAGCCUGCUCCUGAUGCUUGGUGACUUUCUGCCAGGUUACAUGUUUGACAGAUGUUCUGCAGUGUGUGUUCCCAGCCACGGGUCUGACAACCAGCAUUAAGCCAAUUACAGUCACAGGCAAUUAAUGUUCCCCUCCUCAGCUUCUCRUGGAAAUGAUAGCAGAAUGCAGCAGAUCAGCAUGAAAUCAGUSACCUUUGGAAAAAGAAGCUUGAGACAGGAGCUGGGCUGGUGUCUACAUCAGCUACGUCCCAUUGAGCUCUUAAGGGUUGGGAAGGGAAAUGGAAAAUAGCAUGUUUUAUAAAACUGGCAUUAGCAUUAUUUUCUUCUAAUUUCUCAGCACAAUAGCUUGUAGUGACCUGAAAAUACCGAUCCUGCCUCUUUUCCUCCCUGCAUCAUGGUUAUUAUCUGCUAGCAAUAGAUGUAAUCUCAUACAGAUUUUCUGUAUUGUAUUGCACCCAGGCCUGAAUUCAUCGUCUCCCUUCUAAUCUGAGCCAUGCACAAACAGGCCUGUAGGGCCAGCUCCUUCAGGAACGUAAACCAAAUUAUAUCCACUGAAAUGAGAAGAGAGAUUUUUGUCUGCAUCCUUUGAGCACCUUCCUCAGCAGUUUCCUCAGUCUAAAAAGAGAAGAGAGGGUCCUUUUGAGGGUGACUUGGUCAAUUAACACGUAUACAACCCUCUCCGGAUGCUUUUGCUAGUGGAUKCUGUGGAGAGGGAUUGCUGAGAAGCAGUGAGAAAUUUCAGGUCAGUUACU